CUAUGUCCUAUCAGCUAGUUGGUGAGGUAAUGGCUCACCAAGGCUAUGACGGGUAUCUGGUUUGAGAGGAUGAUCAGACACACUGGAACUGAGACACGGUCCAGACUCCUACGGGAGGCAGCAGUGAGGAAUAUUGCACAAUGGAGGAAACUCUGAUGCAGCAACGCCGCGUGGAGGAUGACGCAUUUCGGUGUGUAAACUCCUUUUAAGAGGGAAGAUUAUGACGGUACCUCUUGAAUAAGCACCGGCUAACUCCGUGCCAGCAGCCGCGGUAAUACGGAGGGUGUAAGCGUUACUCGGAAUCACUGGGCGUAAAGGGUGCGUAGGCUGACUUUUAAGUCAGGCGUGAAAUCCAAUGGCUUAACCAUUGAACUGCGCUUGAAACUGGGAGUCUAGAGUUCAGAAGGGGCAGAUGGAAUUAGUGGUGUAGGGGUAAAAUCCGUAGAUAUCACUAGGAAUAUCAAAAGCGAAAGCGAUCUGCUGGGAUGAUACUGACGCUGAGGCACGAAAGCGUGGGGAGCAAACAGGAUUAGAUACCCUGGUAGUCCACGCCCUAAACGAUGAAUGCUAGUCGUCGGGGAGCUCGUCUCUUCUGUGAUGCACUUAACAGAUUAAGCAUUUCCGGCCUGGGGAGUACGGUCGCAGAUUAAACUCAAAGGAAUAGACGGGACCCGCACAAGUGGUGGAGCAUGUGUUUAAAUUC
rnacentral:rRNA from 1 species